rnacentral:rRNA from 1 species
AUGACUCAGGAACCUUUGUAUCCUGAAGGCCACCCUAAGAGAAUUGAGCAGGAUUCUCAGAGAAAUAAUUUAGAUGCACCUAGUCCUUCUAAAAGGAAGAAAAAGAAAAAUGAUAGGACUUUGCAUGCUUCUAGUGAACCUAUUGCUGAACCACCUGAGAAUCCAAAUGAUAUUUCUAUUUCUGAUGCUGAAACACAAUCUGGUAAUGAACAUGAACCAAGUGAAAAUAUUGAUGAAGAUGUUCAUGAUGAUGCUCAACCUAAUAAUAAUAAUGAUGUAGAAAUUGCACCUACUGUUGAUCUUGAUAACCCACAAUCAAAGAAUCAACGUUAUGAUAAGAGAGACUUUGUUGCUAGGAAACAUGGUAAAGAAAGAGAACCAUGGGUUCAGAAACCCAUGCCUUUUCCUCCCAAACCAUCCAAGAAAAAGGAUGAUGAGGAUUUUGAGCGCUUUGCUGAAAUGAUUAGACCUAUCUUUUUGCGUAUGCGCUUGACUGAUAUGCUCAAAAUGAAUCCGUAUGCUAAGUAUAUGAAAGAAAUUGUCACUAAUAAAAGAAAGAUACCGGAAGCUGAAAUUUCCACCAUGCUUGCUAAUUACACUUUUAAGGGUGGAAUACCUAAGAAACUAGGAGAUCCAGGAGUACCAACUAUACCAUGCUCCAUUAAAAGAAACUAUGUUAAAACUACUUUAUGUGACCUUGGAGCCGGUGUUAGUGUUAUGCCUCUCUCUUUAUAUCGUAGACUUGACUUGAAUAAGUUGACACCUACUGAAAUAUCUUUGCAAAUGGCUGAUAAAUCAACUGCUAUACUUGUCGGUAUUUGUGAGGAUGUGCCUGUUGUGGUUGCAAACGUUACUAUUUUAACGGACUUUGUUAUUCUUGAUAUUCCCGAGGACGAUAGUAUGUCUAUUAUUCUUGGAAGACCUUUUUUAAAUACUGCAGGGGCUGUUAUUGAUUGCAACAAAGGCAAUGUCACUUUUCAUGUUAAUGGCAACGAGCAUACGGUACACUUUCCGAGGAAACAACCUCAAGUCCACAGUAUCAACUCUAUUGGAAAAAUUCCAUCGAUUAUUUUUGGAGGUUUUGAAUUUCCUCUUCCUACUGUCAAAAAAAUAUGA